rnacentral:rRNA from 1 species
UACGUAGGGGGCAAGUGUUGUCCGGAUUUAUUGGGCGUAAAGAGCGUGUAGGCGGUUUACAGGUCCGCUGUGAAAACUCGAGGCUCAACCUCGAGCUGUCGGUGGAAACCGUAAGGCUAGAGUCCGGAAGAGGAGAGUGGAAUUCCUGGUGUAGCGGUGAAUGACGCAGAUAUCAGGAAGAACACCCGUGGCGAAGGCGGCUCUCUGGGACGGUACUGACGCUGAGACGCGAAAGCGUGGGGAGCGAACAGG